rnacentral:lncRNA from 1 species
GCCAUAUUAGUUGGUUGUCCUCCUAACCAAGACAUAUAGUGACAUGGGUACGGCAUACGGGUGAUAUGUAGAAGUACAUUUCACUGAGCAUACCACUUUCAGAGCACUCUGCUGUCAAGGGUUGCUCUGAUGGGAUAUGGAUGUAUGUGUCCUUCAGACCUGAGGCUGUCUCGGUGACUUGCAAGCAACUCACUGUGCUUUGGUGUCGAACUAUCCAAAUUUCUAAUUCGAUGAUGAAAGAUUUUUGGGUACAGUCAAGUACUUGUGAAGUUUGAGUGCGAGUCAAGAUGGGAUCGAUCACUCCAAGUAAAAUUGAAGAUGAUGCAUUAUUGUG